rnacentral:misc_RNA from 1 species
AACGCACAUUGCGCCCGCUAGUAUUCUGGCGGGCAUGCCUGUUCGAGCGUCAUUUCAACCAUCAAGCCCCAGGCUUGUGUUGGAGCCCUGCGGCUGCCGCAGCCUCCUAAAACCAGUGGCGGGCUCGCUAUCACACCGAGUGCAGUAGUUUACUCUUCGCUCAGGGCGUGUAGCGGGUGCUAGCCGUGAAACCCCCUACUUCUUAAGGUUGACCUCGGAUCAGGUAGGAAUACCCGCUGAACUUAA